rnacentral:rRNA from 1 species
GACGAACGCUGGCGGCGUGCUUAACACAUGCAAGUCGAACGGAAAGGCCCUGCUUUUGUGGGGUGCUCGAGUGGCGAACGGGUGAGUAACACGUGAGUAACCUGCCCUUGACUUUGGGAUAACUUCAGGAAACUGGGGCUAAUACCGGAUAGGAGCUCCUGCUGCAUGGUGGGGGUUGGAAAGUUUCGGCGGUUAGGGAUGGACUCGCGGCUUAUCAGCCUGUUGGUGGGGUAGUGGCUUACCAAGGCUUUGACGGGUAGCCGGCCUGAGAGGGUGACCGGCCACAUUGGGACUGAGAUACGGCCCAGACUCCUACGGGAGGCAGCAGUGGGGAAUAUUGCACAAUGGGCGGAAGCCUGAUGCAGCAACGCCGCGUGCGGGAUGACGGCCUUCGGGUUGUAAACCGCUUUCGCCUGUGACGAAGCGUGAGUGACGGUAAUGGGUAAAGAAGCACCGGCUAACUACGUG